rnacentral:ncRNA from 1 species
UUUAUACGGGAGGUUACAUUUGCCGGCAGCCGACCAGACUUUGGGUUCGGCCUGAGUCUUGGAUUCCUGUUGACUGGUCACGGUUCCCUCAAUGCAUUCUUGCAUUCGAGGAACCUUUAUGACAGUCCAGAAUGCCGUUGUGGCUCGGCUGCUGAGACAUGGGAGCAUGUUCUCUGUGAGUGCACAAGGUAUGCAGAUUUUCGAGAUCUGAGGGGGAUGGGUAUAAGUGAGGUUAGUGGCGGGUUUGACGUAAGUCAAUCACUCUCCACUAGUGAUAGGGUUAGAAGAAUGAGUGAGUUUGCUAGAGCUGCAUUUUCCAGGCGACGUUUGCAAUUGCAGGAAGGAAUUGUAUGAAUGAUGAUGGAUGGUAGAUGUGAGAAUGUGGGGGUACGAAUGUGGGGGUGUUUCUGAAUGGUAAUUUUUGUUGAACAUUGUGUUGUGAUGGGGCUACCAACCCUUAACUGUUUUGGAGUUUAAAUUGGAAGUGCCCUUCUGGUACGAGGCCUGACCGGAGGCUUUUAAUCUGGUACCACGGGUAACCAGGAGCCCACGGAACUUGUUCCGUCCUGGUUAGUUGGUGCGGCCCUUCGGGGAGUAUCGUGGUGGUUGUGGUUUAACACCCAAAUGCGGGUAGAGCAUCGCUCGACGUGGAGUUGCGUCAUACAACCGGGUUCCGUGACCCAGAUUACGGAAGAGGCUUAGAUAGUCCUCGUGCCAAACCAAGGUAGAAGUCACAACCAAACAGUCGUGUCUUUAAUUGGUACCUGCGGAAUUGUUCCAAGGGGGCGGUGAUUGACGCUUGAAUUAAUCCUAUACUAGGAACCGUGAGAUUAAGCCAUCGCGGCAGGUGCUCACGUUAAGCCCACUGACUUUCAUGUCCCUAUCUACUAUCUAGCGAAACCACAGCCAAGGGAACGGGCUUGGAAUAAUUAGCGGGGAAAGAAGACCCUUUUGAGCUUGACUCUAAUCUGGCAGUGUAAGGAGACAUAAGAGGUGUAGAAUAAGUGGGAGAUAUUAGACUUCGGUUUGGUAUCGACAAUGAAAUACCACUACUCUUAUUGUUUCCUUACUUACUUGAUUAAAUGGAACGUGUAUCAUUUCCUAGCCAUUAUACGGAUAUAAUUAUUAUGUCUUAUGGUAUUGGGUUUUGAUGCAAGCUUCUUGAUCAAAGUAUCACGAGUUUGUUAUAUAAUCGCAAACAAAUUCUUUAAUGAGAGAAUGCAUUUAUGUAUUAUUGAUUUAAAAAUUUGGUAUAACUCCA